rnacentral:rRNA from 1 species
UACGUAGGGGGCAAGCGUUGUCCGGAUUUAUUGGGCGUAAAGAGCGUGUAGGCGGCUAGGUAGGUCCGUUGUGAAAACUCGAGGCUCAACCUCGAGACGCCGAUGGAAACCAUCUAGCUAGAGUCCGGAAGAGGAGAGUGGAAUUCCUGGUGUAGCGGUGAAAUGCGCAGAUAUCAGGAAGAACACCCGUGGCUAAGGCUGCUCUCUAGUACGGUACUGACGCUGAGACGCGAAAGCGUGGGGAGCAAACAGG